AUACGUAGGGAGCGAGCGUUGUCCGGAUUUACUGGGAGUAAAGGGUGCGUAGGCGGGACUGCAAGUCAGACGUGAAAUACCGAGGCUUAACCUCGGGGCUGCGUUUGAAACUGUAGUUCUUGAGUGAAGUAGAGGCAGGCGGAAUUCCUAGUGUAGCGGUGAAAUGCGUAGAUAUUAGGAGGAACACCAGUGGCGAAGGCGGCCUGCUGGGCUUUAACUGACGCUGAUACACGAAAGCAUGGGGAGC
rnacentral:rRNA from 1 species